UAGAUAGCAACUUUCAGCAGUGGAUGUCUAGGCUCGCACAUCGAUGAAGGACGCUGCGAACUGCGAUACGUAAUGCGAAUUGCAGGAUUCAGUGAGUCAUCGAAAUUUUGAACGCAUAUUGCACUUCCGGGUUAUGCCUGGGAGUAUGUCUGUAUCAGUGUCCGUA
rnacentral:rRNA from 1 species